rnacentral:rRNA from 1 species
GGGCCUACGGGAGGCAGCAGUGGGGAAUAUUGCGCAAUGGGCGAAAGCCUGACGCAGCGACGCCGCGUGAGGGAUGAAGGCCUUCGGGUCGUAAACCUCUGUCAGGAGGGAAGAACCGCCAUGGUGCUAAUCAGCCAUGGUCUGACG